rnacentral:lncRNA from 1 species
AAAAAGAAUGUGAUCCGAUGUUGAUUGAACUCGUGAACUCUCGAAAGAUGAAUCAAAGUGUGCAGCCGCUGUGCCAAGGGUGUUAUACUUGCCAAAAGCUAUAAUAAAACGAAAAUAACUUUUGAAUAUUUAAUUAAAAACAGAAAAAAAUGUAAGUAUACACAAACGGGGAUCGAACACGGCUUAUUGUGUGAUAAGGGUACACUAAGAGUAGAAGGGCUUGCCACUAGGCUACGGUGGAUAUUCGAUAACAGAGUAAAUGUGAACUUAUUUAUUCACAGACGAUAGAUUUAUAUAAUCUGGAUAUCAUUUUAGGUAUUCAGGAUAUCUUUCUAAAAACAAAUUCCUUUAAAGUUCACAAAAAAAAAAUGAAAAAGAAUGUGAUCUGAUGUUGAUUGAACUCAUGAACUCUCGAAAAAUGAAUCAAAGUGUGCAGCCGUUGUACCAAGGGUGUUAUACUUGCCAAAAGCUAUAAUAAAACAAAAAUAACUUUUGAAUAUCAAUACAAUACUAAAAGGGGAAUAAGGGCUCCCCUCAUGCUUCCACGUCCUCAAUAAUAAUCAGCCAAUAGGGUGUCU